rnacentral:ncRNA from 1 species
CAACCCCGAGUUUCAUUUCCUAACGCGAACAGGCUAUGGAGAUGUGACCAGUGAGCCGAAAGGCUCCAAGGGCUUUUGCGGGAAACCGCGAAGCCUCCCGGGAUGCGCAGAGCAUCCGAAUUGGAAAGGGGUAAGAGUA